rnacentral:lncRNA from 1 species
GAGAGAAAGUGAAACAGAGUGAGUACAUCUUUUAACUCUUUAAUCACCACAUUUGCAUGUGCAACUUAACAACAAAAUUUAAUUUAGGAAGAAUGCCAUGAAGUAGUUUUGUCUUAAUAGUUCGUGAAUAAAAAUUGAUUGAGGUGAUGGUGAAAACUUAAUUUUAAUUGAAGAAUCCUAUAGUAGAUAAGGUAGUAUGAGAUUCUAGUGUGAGGUUUAUAAGGUCUUCGACUCUUCAACUACUACUGCAGCUAGCUUUUUUGGUGGUGGAGUUCUUCCAUGGUUCUUGUCAAAAUAAUUUACAGCAAAUAUUCCCAAAAUAGGUUGUCUGCUUAAUACAAAUAACAUCUGAUAUAAAUAGAAAUAAAGUCAACUAAAUCAAAUUUGUAUCAGAUCUCCUGAAAUAUAUCUGUAAUAUAUUUACAUGUGUUUUUUUUUUGUCUUCGAAAUGCUUUUUCAGGAUGGAAAGGACGUAAGGAUGUGCAUUUGUGUGAGACUAAGGGGACACAUAGUAUAGGUGUCAUCUUUUUGCCCAGAUUUGUUUGCUAAACCACAACAGAACUAUUUGUUGUGUUGAGUGGCAAUUUGUUGAUGUUGUGCUAUGCUUUAGUCCCUAUAGUGGCAAGUUUGAUAAUGGACUGAAGUGUUUGCUGCGUAAUCAUCAUCCAAGUACGAUCGUCGCAUUUCAAGCUUUUUUAUGGAUGAUUCUGGAAAAAAGGAAACAAAUUUCUGUUCUGUUUCAUUCCUCUCAGACUUUUUGUGUUAAAAGCUGUUUUCUAAA